CCUACGGGUGGCAGCAGUGGGGAAUAUUGCACAAUGGGGGAAACCCUGAUGCAGCGACGCCGCGUGAGUGAAGAAGUAAUUCGUUAUGUAAAGCUCUAUCAGCAGGGAAGAAAAUGACGGUACCAGAGUAAGAAGCCCCGGCUAACUACGUGCCAGCAGCCGCGGUAAUACGUAGGGGGCAAGCGUUAUCCGGAUUUACGGGGGGGAAAGGGAGCGUAGACGGCAGGGCAAGUCUGGAGUGAAAGGCGGGGGCUCAACCCCCGGACUGAUCUCGAAACUGUACGGCUGGAGUGCAGGAGAGGUAGGUGGAAUUCCUGGUGUAGCGGUGAAAUGCGUAGAUAUUAGGAGGAACACCAGUGGCGAAGGCGGCUUACUGGACUGUAACUGACGUUGAGGCUCGAAAGCGUGGGGAGCAAACAGGAUUAGAUACCCUGGUAGUC
rnacentral:rRNA from 1 species